rnacentral:lncRNA from 1 species
GCUAGAUAGUCAAAAGAGCUAAUUUCUUGUGUAAGCACCUUAAUGAACUGGGCAGGUGUUGCUCUGCAGGUGCUGAGACCUCAGUAAUGAAAGCUGAGCCCACCUAACCGUGCCUUCCUGAGAGCCCUUCACCUCAGCUUCUCUCAAGUUCCUCAAAAGUAAUUAAACUGUUGUUUAAAUAAAUAAAUAAAUACACCAAGCUCUGUGAUUUGUGUAGCAGCAGUGACCAGAGGUAAUUUGGAAAGGUUUUCACCUUCCUAUUUAAAAGCUGGAGCCAUCCUUUCCAGUCUGCUUCAGCUCUUAAAUCAAGGCUUGAAAAAACAUUCCCAUGUGCCCACGGCAGUGUUUUGGUGUAACGGAGUCUGGAUUUCUCGCCCUGAAGGGAAUUCAGCCCUUGGGACAGUGACAGGACAAGGCCUUUGCAACGCUUCAGGUUGUAAAACUGAGCUUAAAUGAGGUUUGUGCUUUGCAGCAGCCUCCCACUCAGCCACCUCCCAGGGCUACGUUCAGCUCUGCUGCAGGCCUUCAGGGAGGGCCAAGCCCAAGAAGCAGCAAAGCAGCAAGCAGGAAUCCUCCAGGUUGCAUGUCUGGCAAGAGCUGUCAAAGCAGAGCACCAGAUAAAACAGCGGGGAUGUAAAGGAAGAUCUGGAUAUCAGCACGUGGUAUCACUUCCUUUUAGGAAGCUGACCGUCAAAAGCAGAAGUGUCACUUGCAAUUAGGAAAAACUCUCCUGCACACCUCAAAAUUUAUUAGUGGUAUGAAGGUCUGUCUGCUAAACUCUGCACUGAACAAAACAACUGCAGUUUUUCCUCUAGAAAAAUCAUUUGCAUCACCACAGCAAAUGUACCUCUAAUCAAAAGUGACUUUUAUUUAGAUUCCACCUUUACAAUCCUUAAAAUGUCAUACUUCUGAGAUGCCAGCAAGGAACGCUUCACAUAUUCUCAUCUAGGAAAUGCAAUUUUUCCCCAGAAGUUUAUUGAAUAAACUGUUUAUUUUGAAAUAUACUUUGACA